rnacentral:tRNA from 1 species
GGUCCGGUAGCUCAGCUGGAUAGAGCAACUGCCUUCUAAGCAGUAGGUCAUAGGUUCGAAUCCUAUCCGGAUCA